rnacentral:lncRNA from 1 species
AAACAGAAUGUAAAAGGAAGAAGACAGAAAGCAAAACUAGAAAAAAAAAAAACCAAUAAAUACACAAAGAAACUAGGCAAUACAAGAGGCACAAAAUAAAAUCAUCAAAAAGACACAAGUUAUAAAGGAACUAGAAAUGCAAUAACAUGGGAAACAAAAUUAACAAGACAGAACGGAAAUACAUGUCUCUAUCCCCCUGCUUUUCUAUGAUGCUCUGUCCUGAUAUACACUUUCAGUAAAAAAGGACACAAUGGAAUUACUCCAGCAAUGAGAGUUCUAAUGAAGGCUGUUAAACAUUGCCCCCUUUUUCAGGUUGGUUGGCGGCAAGGUUGUUUUGUUUUGUGGGCAGUGUUUUGGGAAGGGGAAGAAGGGGGGAAGAGGGGGGUGCAUUGGAGAGCAGCAAAUAGAAAUUGGAUUUUUAAUAAGAUAACAUAGAGAAUGGAAAUUGGGCAGCUAUAAUUUUUUGCCUGCGCAUUUUUUUCUGCAAUGCAGGAAAAAAAAAAAAGCAAUUGCUAAACUAAAGGGUGUAUGUUACAAAAGAUGCGUCUAUGGACAUGUGCAAUUUGUUGUUUAAGCAAGGAGUUUACAAUAAUAAAGACAAAGAAGAUGAGGGAAGAAAGAUAUCUGUAUUAGACACAGAAUUCAGGAAAAGAGAGAGCUAAGAGCAUAAAGGGAGAAUUAUCCUUAGAACACCCAAACUAAGAUGCAAAAAAUUUCCCACAGUGACCACGGACACAUCAAUAAUUUGGCCUUAGUACAUGCAUUGAAGAUGAAGUAUUAAAAAAAAUUGUUAAGGCACAAAGAAAAUGGUGGUCAUCAACUGGAGACUCAGAGAAGAGAGAAAUUUGAUGUCUGCUAAAAACUGCACAAGAUGAUGAGAGAGGGAGAGGGGGGUGGGGGGCAGAGAGAGGUUUGAUUGGUAAAAGAAGUAGAAGAAGAAAAGGCUAAAAAAAUAUAUCAUAAUUAGUGCGGUUGUUGGAGACAGAAAGUUUGUGAAAGAAAUUUAGAUAGCAUGAUGACACACCAUAUUUCUCCUAAUAAAAGUUAUAUGCAUUGCAUGAGCUGUGGAAUGUGUUUUGACAAUAAGAUUUGAGCCUCACCCAAAUCAUUUGUUCUGAAUCAGUCAUGUGAAUCACAUGUGGUGAGUCUAACCUUUCUGAAUUAGUUCUUCUAUGACUUUCCCUUGCAAAAAGCUACUAGUGGAUUUUUUGAUAAAACAUUUGACAGGUGAAUAUUAAAGCCUCCAUUUUUUUAAAUAAUAUAGUUUCGAUUUUUAACCAUAAACAUCAAGCCCCAUCCCAAUAAUUUGGCUCAUCUGAUAGGUUAUAAUUUACACCUUUAAACAUAUUCCCAAUGCAUAUUCUAUGCUUUUAUAGGUUUUUUCAACAACUUCUAAUAUAUUUCUUCUUUCAUAUACAGUGCUGUAACUUCCCUAUGGAGAACUAGAUGAAAGAUAGCAUUCACAAUGACUUAAAGCCACAAAAAAUUUCACAACACAAUUUUAUCACCAGUUUAAGUAUACUAAAAAAUAAUUGGUUAACAUAAAUUAAUUUACUAAAGCUAAGAUCUUGGAAUUUCCCAGAACCAAAUGGUUCAAAGAAAAACAGAGAGAAAAUAAACGCCACAUUAGAUCCUUCAGUGUUAGUAAAUAAAACUGUAAUGGUUUCAAGAGUGAUGCAGCAGAUAAAAUUGGAAAAUAAAAAAGGAAAGCAACGCAGCAGAAAAUUUCUCCGCUUAUCAUAUCUUCAAAGC